CCGAGGUAGAAGAGUCUGAGGAUUAGCUGGGACAUCCGAACUUUCCUGCCAAGUAUAGUUUAAUUUCAAUGAUAAUGCCGCGAUAUUUCCCCUUUGUCAUUGUGCCAUAUUCUUUUUAUUAAUAUUAUUUUAAUCUUUAAUGAACUUUUCAUAUAACAGUGCUGCAUAAUAUGUUGGUCAUUUAUCCUUCUUCCAAGGUGAAAACUCUGGCCUUACCUCUAGGUAUCUUGUUAGCAUUGUUGUAGUGCUGAAGUUAAA
rnacentral:misc_RNA from 1 species